rnacentral:rRNA from 1 species
CCUACGGGCGACAGCAGUGAGGAAUAUUGGUCAAUGGACGAGAGUCUGAACCAGCCAAGUAGCGUGAAGGAUGACUGCCCUAUGGGUUGUAAACUUCUUUUAUAUGGGAAUAAAAUGUUCCACGUGUGGGAUUUUGUAUGUACCAUAUGAAUAAGGAUCGGCUAACUCCGUGCCAGCAGCCGCGGUAAUACGGAGGAUCCGAGCGUUAUCCGGAUUUAUUGGGUUUAAAGGGAGCGUAGGUGGAUUGUUAAGUCAGUUGUGAAAGUUUGCGGCUCAACCGUAAAAUUGCAGUUGAAACUGGCAGUCUUGAGUACAGUAGAGGUGGGCGGAAUUCGUGGUGUAGCGGUGAAAUGCUUAGAUAGCACGAAGAACUCCGAUUGCGAAGGCAGUUCACUGGACUGCAACUGACACUGAGGCUCGAAAGUGUGGGUAUCAAACAGGAUUAGAUACCCCUGUAGUC